UACGUAGGGUCCGAGCGUUGUCCGGAAUUACUGGGCGUAAAGAGCUCGUAGGUGGUUUGUCGCGUUGUUCGUGAAAACUCACAGCUCAACUGUGGGCGUGCGGGCGAUACGGGCAGACUAGAGUACUGCAGGGGAGACUGGAAUUCCUGGUGUAGCGGUGAAAUGCGCAGAUAUCAGGAGGAACACCGGUGGCGAAGGCGGGUCUCUGGGCCGAUACUGACGCUCAGGCACGAAAGCUAGGGGAGCGAACAGG
rnacentral:rRNA from 1 species